rnacentral:piRNA from 1 species
UCAACAUUGUCACACAACCGCAGC